UCCCCGUUAUCCGAGGCAGUUUCCUAAGAGUUCCGUCCUUGCGGACUUGGCAACAUAGGAUAAGGGUUGCGCUCGUUGCGGGACUUAACCCAGCAUCUCACGACACGAGCUGACGACAGCCAUGCAGCACCUGUCUCCGGUCCAGCCGAACUGAAGGACUCCAUCUCUGGAAUCCGCGACCGGGAUGUCAAGGGCUGGUAAGGUUCUGCGCGUUGCUUCGAAUUGAACCACAUGCUCCACCGCUUGUGCGGGCCCCCGUCAAUUCCUUUGAGUUUUAAUCUUGCGACCGUACUCCCCAGGCGGAAUGCUUAAUGCGUUAGCUGCGCCACCGAAGAGCAUGCUCCCCGACGGCUGGCAUUCAUCGUUUACGGCGUGGACUAC
rnacentral:misc_RNA from 1 species